rnacentral:misc_RNA from 1 species
CACGAAAGCACAGAUCUUGAAGUUGACACUUAACUACACUACUAGACAUCUCAGAUCUAAUGCUGACUAUCUCUCUCGUUCUCUGUGUGAUGACGUAAAAAAUAAAAAAAAGUGCUGGGUAACUUACUAUGCUCUUCCUCGCUUUGCAUCUACUACACUCCCUCCACUUUGGACUUCAAGAUGCUUAGAUGUGCUAUUGGCGGCUACUCUAUCCUAAGCCUACUCCACUGACCAAUCAUGAGCAGGAAUAGUUUGAGAGAAUCUCUCGCAGGAGGCAGGAAUAUGCCGCCGGGAUCUCAUUCCCAGCAUUCCCGCCGAGGUCAAGGUUUGACCGGCUUUUCCAGAGACACCGACGAGAACUUGGAUCUCUUCUCCAAGAACCGCCGCAAUCUCUCUGUCGCCUCUUCUGACGAAUCUUCCAAUGGUGUGUUUUUCUUUUUUCGUAUUUCCUUUCUAUCCUCUCCGGCUUCCUCUCCGGUGGAUUUUGUUUUCUUUUUUGCGGGAGGAGGGAUUGUACGGUCAUUUAAAACCGAUUUCCGGUUCCUUUUUGUUUGAUUUGUCGGCUUUGAGUGGGCAGCUUUCUCUAAUAUCUCCUAAAAGUGAAAGUGAUGUUCAUUUGAACCACAUUUAAUACGCCGAAGCCUAUUUGUCGAGAAGAAACGACGUCGUUUUAUGGAAAUAAAAGAAUCAACCAGCACCCACCAUCGCCUUUCCUUUUCUCUUCCGUUCUGUAAUGAGUCUUUUUAUCAAUGGAAUAUACCUGAUGGCGGCAGUACUAAUGAUUUUGGCGAUACAGUAAUCUUGAUUCCAUUUUAAUUCAGUCUCAAAUUGUCGGAAAUAAAUUGAUUUGGAUUUCUGAAUCUGAAUCGUUCAUUGUGGAGUGUGUAUCUUACAAGCUUCUUUGAUUUUCAAUUUAUUUUUUGAAAAAUUGGCACUUUUAUGAUGUGGAUCUUUAUUGCAGUUUCGGUGAAACUAGAAAUACUUUCCGUUGGGGCAGCCAAACUAACAAAGAGCGGGCUUGAUGAUCUAUUGUCUUCCACAGAUGGAGGGAAGCAUGAUUAUGACUGGCUUCUCACUCCUCCUGGAACUCCUCUCUUUCCAUCAUCUGAGGGCAGCGAGUCACAACCAACUUCAGUGGCUCCAAGAAGCAGUUCCUUGCCUAGAUCAGUUUCUACUACUAAAGCUUCAAGGGUAUGCAAGACCGUUUUUCUUUAUUUAUUAUUGCAAUUUUGAACUAUUUUAUACUGGAUCUGAAUUAACUCCCUGGAUAAAUAAGAAAAUUUCUGUAGAAGUUCCUAUUUGGAAAGGACUUUGGCAUGACAUAUAUUCAACUUUUGAACUUCCAACUGAAUGAUUAAUUUUUAUUUUGUCUGUGUUUUAGCUUUCUGUCUCACAAUCAGAGAGCUACCAUUCCACUAGACCUACUAGAAGCAGUUCAUUGACUCGCUCCUCUAUCUCAUCUUCACAAUCUAGUACCUAUUUGUCAAAUAGAUCGUCUUCAAUCCUAAAUACAAGCUCAGCUUCAGUUUCAUCUUACACAAGACCAUCCUCCCCAAUUGCCCGCUCUCCAUCUACAGCAAGACCUUCCACGCCAUCUGCUCGCCCAACAACAUCACGUCCCUCAACUCCAUCAAGAGUUCGUCCAGCCCCCGCCAGCUCUUUAAUUGACAAGACUCGGCAAUCCCAAAACUCAAGGUCCUCUACUCCAAGUUCUAGGGCACAAAUUCCUGCAAACUUGAAUUCAACCACUACACGAUCAAAUUCUCGUUCAUCUACUCCCACACGUCGGAAUCCAUUACCUUCUGUGUCACCUGCCUCAGGUCCUUCAACUUCAGUUGGGCGUGUUCUUUCAAAUGGGCGCACAUCUGCAACAUCAUCACGACCAAGUUCCCCAGGCCCCCGAAUCCGGCCUCCACAACAGCCAGUUGUUCCUCCUGAUUUUCCCCUUGACACACCUCCAAACCUCAGAACAACUUUGCCAGACAGACCACUUUCUGCUGGUAGGUCCCGGCCAGGUGUAGCAGUCACUAUGAAGGGGAACCCAGAAACUACUGGCUCAAUGAAUGUGCCAAGAAGACAUUCAUCUCCAAUUGUCUCAAGGGGAAGACUAACAGAGACCCCUGGAAAGGGUCGUGUGCAUUCAAAUGGGCAUGUUACUGAUAUGUCUGAACCUCGAAAAGUGUUACAUGUGUCAGAUUUAGCAAUGCGGAAAUCUGUUAAGUCAUCAACAACUGCCGCAGAGAGUACUGGCUUUGGGAGGACAAUAUCUAAGAAGUCUUUGGAUAUGGCGAUCAGGCAUAUGGACAUAAAAAAUGGCACAGGCAGCACUCGUGCACUUUCAGGUACCACUCUUUUCCCCCAGAGCAUUCGAUCUGCUUCCAGAACCCAAUCUGUCCGUUCUAUGAGUGCUCCAGAAUCCAUUAACAAUGGAGAUAUUUUGGAGAAUGGAAACCAUAUGAGCAGGCCAGCAGAAAAUGGAAGUGAAGCCAUUGAUGGAAGAUAUUACGCAAAGUUGAGUGAAGUUGACAACUACGAAAGCUCCCGAUAUGAUACAAUAUUACUUGAGGAUUUGAAGAACACCAACUGGCUGCACAGUAUUGAUGAUAAAUCUGAUCAAGGAGCAAUCUUCGAUAAUGGAUUUGAGUCUCUCCCUGAACCGUUUGGCCUAUUAUAACAUCUGAGGAGUGUUUCUUUUUCUUUAAGAUAUUUAUUUUUAUAAAAUUAUAUUUUAUUCUCUUGAAUUAUUUGCUUACUUGGAAAAAAAAAAAAAAGAAAUAUUGUCAACUUUUAUCACCAAGGACUGAAAGUGAAGGGGCGGUCAUUGUGUACUCGGACGAGAUAAAUGGUUUCACUGUUGGCUUUUUCUGUAUGCUCCAAAUGUGAAUAUUUGGAAGGUUAUAGGAUGUUAAUGGCGAUAUGUGACGCGUCAGCAGUUGCCACUUACCAAUUGUCCAGGUUGCUGGAGCCCUUUAUGUUACAUAAAAUGUACUGAAUGAGUUUGAAAAUGGACUAACACAGUCCCUCUUUAUUCUUAACUACCACAAGUCCAAUAUCCAGAAGGCCGGCCCAGAAAAUCAAUUCAUUUUCAAUCUUCAUGUUGUUUUCGGUGGCCUGUGCCCAACUCAAAUUGGCACUAACUUCUGGAGAUCCAUUGGGCGGCUGUAAAAAUC